rnacentral:rRNA from 1 species
GAUGAACGCUAGCGAUAGGCUUAACACAUGCAAGUCGAGGGGCAGCAUGGUCUUAGCUUGCUAAGACUGAUGGCGACCGGCGCACGGGUGCGUAACGCGUAUGCAACUUGCCUCACAGAGGGGGAUAACCCGUCGAAAGACGGACUAAUACCGCGUACACUCCAUCUUGGGCAUCCAAGGUAGAGGAAAUGAAAUUCGCUGUGAGAUAGGCAUGCGUCCCAUUAGCUAGUUGGUGAGGUAACGGCUCACCAAGGCGACGAUGGGUAGGGGAACUGAGAGGUUGAACCCCCACACUGGUACUGAGACACAGACCAGACUCCUACGGGAGGCAGCAGUGAGGAAUAUUAGUCAAUGGGCGAGAGCCUGAACCAGCCAAGUCGCGUGAAGGAUGACUGUCUUAUGGAUUGUAAACUUCUUUUAUACGGGAAUAACAAGAGUCACGUGUGACUCCCUGCAUGUACCGUAUGAAUAAGCAUCGGCUAACUCCGUG